UCUCAGGUAGUAUAGUGGUUAGUAUUCGCGCCUGUCAUUAUUGCGAACGCGCGAGACCGGGGUUCAAUUCCCCGCCUGAGAG